CCUACCUCUAGACACUUUGUGGGUGUGGCUGCUGUAUCACAUGUAAAGUAGGUAGCAGAGAGGAGAGAGGGUCUGUCUACCAGUGUUCUGACCUAUGAACAUCUGAAUGAUUGAUAUCCUAUCAUU
ensembl:snoRNA Gm24903 small nucleolar RNA SNORA17